rnacentral:lncRNA from 1 species
CGGUCUCUUUCGAAGAUUUGUGUGCCUCUCCGAACGAUCUCGAGAUCCUUCGAGAGAGACACGAAUUUCUCAGAGACAUUUUCGCCCACCCGCUUCUUCUUUUGAUUUUGUUUUUUGAUUCUCUGAGAGAGAGUGAGAGAGAUAUUUUACUUUUAGCCUUUUUUUUUUUUCCUUUUUUUGUUGGUGGGUGAGUGAUUGAGAUGAGAGGGAGGGACGAAUGGUAUGAAA